CUGCACAUUCCACCAUCUCGU
rnacentral:miRNA from 1 species